AUUUAAGUAAUUUAAAAAAAAAUUUUGAUUUGUGGUAUCAAAUAUGUAAGAGAUUACCUUGAAUU
rnacentral:tRNA from 1 species